GAGCUGAGUGCUGAGGUGGCAUUGAAAGAGAGUGCAGUAAUUAAUGAAGCUCUUGAAUUUCAACUCUCCAAGAGAAAAAGGAAGAAAUAAUACAAUUACGCUGCCUUCAGUUACUGUUAUCGGGAAGCCUCCAGGAGAGUCGAGAGCCUCCAGAAGGAUCCUGCUCAAACCAGUGGCGAUCUCUUGCAUUUGGAAGACUGGCAGCAGGUCAUCAGGGUCUGUAAGAGUGCUUAACAGUUAUACAGUGUUUUAAGUUAAUUUAAAAUAACUGUUGGGUUAAGGACAA